rnacentral:lncRNA from 1 species
CUUUUUUUUCUUUUUUUUUUUUCCUAAGGAAUGCUCUGCAGCAAAUUUCCUCACCGAGUCCUGCCCGUGGAUUUUUGAGGAGGAAUUUUUGGGAGGAUUUGUGGGAAAACUCUUCCCGGCGCGGCGCCGCUUGGCGGAGCUGCUUCCCCCAGGAAAAACUCCGGGAUAGGAAUUCCCAACCUGCAGCCUCGGCCCCGCUCAUCCCAAAUCCCGAGAAAACCUGGGAAUUUCUGCUCCCUCAGCGGGUUCCCGUGGGCGGGAGGCGAAGGAACCACGAAUCCCAAAUUCCUCCAAUCCGCAAACACGGGCCCUGCUAAUCCUGGAUUUGGGAAUUUGGGAUUUUUAAUUUUAUUUUUGGGAACAAAAAAUCACCUCCAGAGGGUUCAGUUCCCACCUCCAGGCUCCACUUCUCACGGUCUCCAAAAAAAUUGGAAUAACAAAAUUCCCUCUGGUCCCGUCUCAAGGCAGAUGCAUUUUUGAAGGAGAAAAACAGGAAUUUCGGGAAAGACUCGGAUAGGGAGGGAAGGGCGAGCACAGGGCAGCUUGUGCCUCCAUGGAUGGGCUGAAAAUCGGGAAAAACGGGGGGAAAUUUGUUAUUCCUUUUUUUAUUUUAUUUUUACUCCUUCUUAUUCCUUAUUUUAUUAUAUUAUUUGCCUGGGUUUUUUUUUGUUUGGGUUUUUGUUGUUUUGUUUUGGGUUUUUUGGGGUGUUUUUUUGGUUUUUUUUUUGUUUUUUGUUUGUUUGGGGGUUUUUUUGUUGGUUUUUUUUGUUUUGUUUUUUGGGGGUUUUUGUUUGUGUUUUGGUUUUUUGUUUUUUUUUUUUUUUUUUGUUUUGUUUUGUUUUGGUUUUUUGUUUGUUUUGUUUUUUGUUUGUUUGGUUUUUUGUUUGUGUGGGUUUUUUUUGUUUGUUUGGUUUUUUUGUUUGGGGUUUUUUUGGGAUUUCUCCUUCCCAGAGCUGAUUUGGGCAUUCCAGUUGAAUUUUUAAUCGAGUUAAAAAUGAAGCUGAGAAGGGGAAGGGUGUGGAAAUUUUAAUUAUUUAUCCCUGGGGAUGUUUUCUGCAGCAGCAGCCCCGACGGGGAAAAAAAGAGGGAAAAAAUUCCCAAACUCCAUCGGGCUGAGCUCAUGUUCCUAUUUAAUUCCCGGCUGUUAAAAUUCCAGCCAGCUCCAGGGGGGCUGGAAAAGCGAGCGCGGCUCCGGUUGCGCUUAACCCCUGCGGGGAUUCCCGAAUUUCUCAGGAAUUUUGGGCUGGAGAGGAUUUGCACUGGAAUUCCUGCGGGAUUUGGGAUUUUUCCCGAUGUUCCCAAACCUCUGCAGGUGCCUCCAAACUGCCACCCCUGCCCCAUCCUGAGCUGCUGGAAUUCCCUGCUGGGAUUUUUGCCUCGGGAUUGAUCCCCUGGGGAAUAUUUUGGGAAUUGGGAGUUUGGAAAAGCCCUGGGCAGUGGGAAGGGAGAGGAGCCCCGGUAAAAUCCCGUGGGAUUUAUUUUGGGAAUGGGAUGGAGGAGGGGGAUUGUCCCAUCCCAAAGUCUUGUCCCGGUCCCCUGCUCCCACUUAUUCCCACUUUUCCUUGUCCCCAUCUCCUGGUUUCCUCAAAUCCCCUUUUUUUGUCCCAUUUAUCCCCAGCCCAAAUUUUCCUCCUUGUCCCCUCAUCCCUUCUCCUGCUUUUCUCCAUUUCUUCCUCCCACUUUUCCUCAUCCCCAUCUCAUUUUUUUCCAUUCCUCCCACAGAUGGGAUUUUCUCCUUUCGCAAAUUACCCCAAAAGUGGAAAACCGGGAAGAAAAAUCCCUUUAAAACAGGUUCCCAGGGAAAUGGAAUCGUUUCUUUAUUCCAUGUUUUGGUCGCAUUUUCCCCUCAUUCCCGUAUCUCCCUGUCCUGCUUGUCCCCUCUCCUCAUCCCCUGAAUUCCAUGAGGGAUUAAUGCCAAAAAACCAAUUAAUUUGGAGAUAAACCCAACCCCUCCAGCCCCAAAAUCAGGGAUUUUCUCCCAAAGCUUUUCCCACCAAAUUUUUCCGUUCUCCAUCAUUUUGGCCAUCCCUGGACAACGUUUCCCACAUUUCCCCGUGCCUGAUUUUGGGAUGAUUCUGCAGAUGGGAUUUUUCUCCUUCCACCAACAACCCAAGAGCAGAAAACCAGGGAGAAAAAUCCCCCUGAACCAGGUUCCAAAAACACCCCAGGGAAACGGAACAAUUCCUUUUUUUUUCCAAAGCAAACAUUGGAAAAACGAGUUCAUAAAGGGAUUUUUGGGCCUCCUGUUCCUGCAGACAUUUCCCAGGCACCACGUCAUUUAUUGCUGGGGAGGGGGAGGGAGCCACGGAUCCAGAGGGUUUGGAAAGGAAAAAAAUGGGGAAAACUGGGAAAAAAAAUCCUGUUUUCCUUUGGGAAAACCUUGGGAGGUCUCGGUGUUGUUUUCCCAAUUUUAAUUAAUUUUUUUUUUAAACCUUGUUGUUGAAAUGGGAUGGAAACAUCUCGGGUUGCUAAAAUUAAAGGGAAUGGGGAGAAUUUGGGAUCGAUUCCACAGGAUUGGAGCAAACAUCUCCGGUUCUUUAGGAUGGGGGAUGCUGGGGGGGUUCCUGAGCUGCUUUUUUCCCUUAAAAAUCCCAUUUUAGGGGGAAACAAUGUCCAGGUGAGCAGGGAAAGGGCAGCAGUGGGGGAAGAGUUGGAUCCCUGGUUUUGGGUGGUCCUGGAGCCAUCGGUGGAUUUUUUUUGUUGGAAAAUACCUGGAAAAGUUUCCCCUCCAACCACAUCCCAAGGGAUCCCCCCAGUCACAUCCCAUUCCAGGUGAUCCCCGUGUCCCACCCUAAAUCCACCCCAGGUCCCAUCCCAGGGGUACCUCAUGGUCCAUUCCAUGGAUUCCUCUUCUGCCAUUCCAGGUGUUCCCAUCCCAGAUUAUCCUGACUCCAAAUCCCACACUGGAUGACCCCACAGAACCCAUCCCAGGUGACCCCUAUCCCAAAUCCCACACUGGAUGACCCCACAGAACCCAUCCCAGGUGACCCCUAUCCCAAAUCCCACACUGGAUGACCCCACAGAACCCAUCCACGGUGACCCCUAUCCCAAAUCCCACACUGGAUGACCCCACAGAACCCAUCCCAGGUGACCCCUAUCCCAAAUCCCACACUGGAAGAUCCUCCAGAAUCCAUUCCAGGUUAUCCCAGGUGAUUCCCAGUUCCCAUCCCAGGUGAUCCCUGUUCCACAUCCCAUCCGUCCAUCCCCAUCCCGACCAAGUUUUAGGGUGGAAAAUCGGGAUGUGGAGGGAUCAGGGAUGCUCCAAACUUCCCAGGCUCCAAGUGCAUCCCCUGGACCUAAAUUAAUUUAAUUAUUAACCAGCACCAGAUGGAAUUCCAUCGGUCAUGGAUCUGCCGGGUGGGAUCCUGCAAUUCCAUCAGCUCCUUCUCCUCCAGAGGGACAUUUUGGGGAUGAAAACCUGGAUUUGGGAAGGAAAAUCCCCUAAUUUUCCUGCUGAAAAAAACAGGACCAUCCUGUCUGUUCAUGUGUCCAGCCCAAGGGAUGCUGGUGGGAAUUUCCCAGUGCUCUCCUGAACACCAAAUUUGGGGAAAAAUGGGAAAACAAGGAUGAACUUUCUCCGUUGUUGAUGGAGCUGCCGGGCCGGGAUCCGGGCUCCUGUUUAGGAUCAUCGUUAGGAAAAACCAUCCCGGGGUAAGCAGAGAGGAAAAAACGCUCCGGAAAUUAAACAACCCCAAAAUAGAAGGAGAAAAAAAAAAAA